rnacentral:rRNA from 1 species
GAUGAACGCUGGCGGCGUGCCUAAUACAUGCAAGUCGAGCGAACGGACGAGAAGCUUGCUUUUCUGAUGUUAGCGGCGGACGGGUGAGUAACACGUGGAUAACCUACCUAUAAGACUGGGAUAACUUCGGGAAACCGGAGCUAAUACCGGAUAAUAUUUUGAACCGCAUGGUUCAAAAGUGAAAGACGGUCUUGCUGUCACUUAUAGAUGGAUCCGCGCUGCAUUAGCUAGUUGGUAAGGUAACGGCUUACCAAGGCAACGAUGCAUAGCCGACCUGAGAGGGGGAUCGGCCACACUGGAACUGAGACACGGUCCAGACUCCUACGGGAGGCAGCAGUAGGGAAUCUUCCGCAAUGGGCGAAAGCCUGACGGAGCAACGCCGCGUGAGUGAUGAAGGUCUUCGGAUCGUAAAACUCUGUUAUUAGGGAAGAACAUAUGUGUAAGUAACUGUGCACAUCUUGACGGUACCUAAUCAGAAAGCCGCGGCUAACUACGU